rnacentral:rRNA from 1 species
GAUGAACGCUGGCGGCGUGCUUAACACAUGCAAGUCGAACGAAGCAUUUAGAACAGAUUAUUUCGGUAUGAAGUUCUUUAUGACUGAGUGGCGGACGGGUGAGUAACGCGUGGGUAACCUGCCUUGUACUGGGGGAUAGCAGCUGGAAACGGCUGGUAAUACCGUAUAAGCGCACGAUGUCGCAUGACAUAGUGGGAAAAACUCCGGUGGGAUAAGAUGGACCCGCGUCUGAUUAGCUAGUUGGUGAGAUAACAGCCCACCAAGGCGACGAUCAGUAGCCGACCUGAGAGGGUGACCGGCCACAUUGGGACUGAGACACGGCCCAGACUCCUACGGGAGGCAGCAGUGGGGAAUAUUGCACAAUGGAGGAAACUCUGAUGCAGCGACGCCGCGUGAGUGAAGAAGUAAUUCGUUAUGUAAAGCUCUAUCAGCAGGGAAGAUAGUGACGGUACCUGACUAAGAAGCUCCGGCUAAAUACGUGCCAGCCGCCGCCGUAAGAC